GACGAACGCUGGCGGCGUGCUUAACACAUGCAAGUCGAACGGAAAGGCCCAGCUUGCAGGGUACUCGAGUGGCGAACGGGUGAGUAACACGUGGGUGAUCUGCCCUGCACUUCGGGAUAAGCCUGGGAAACUGGGUCUAAUACCGGAUAGGAGCCAUUUUUAGUGUGAUGGUUGGAAAGUUUUUUCGGUGUAGGAUGAGCUCGCGGCCUAUCAGCUUGUUGGUGGGGUAAUGGCCUACCAAGGCGGCGACGGGUAGCCGGCCUGAGAGGGUGGACGGCCACAUUGGGACUGAGAUACGGCCCAGACUCCUACGGGAGGCAGCAGUGGGGAAUAUUGCACAAUGGGCGCAAGCCUGAUGCAGCGACGCCGCGUGGGGGAUGACGGCCUUCGGGUUGUAAACUCCUUUCGCUAGGGACGAAGCUUUUUGUGACGGUACCUAGAUAAGAAGCACCGGCUAACUACGUG
rnacentral:rRNA from 1 species